GAUGAACGCUGGCGGCGUGCCUAAUACAUGCAAGUCGAGCGAACGGACGAGAAGCUUGCUUCUCUGAUGUUAGCGGCGGACGGGUGAGUAACACGUGGAUAACCUACCUAUAAGACUGGGAUAACUUCGGGAAACCGGAGCUAAUACCGGAUAAUAUUUUGAACCGCAUGGUUCAAAAGUGAAAGACGGUCUUGCUGUCACUUAUAGAUGGAUCCGCGCUGCAUUAGCUAGUUGGUAAGGUAACGGCUUACCAAGGCAACGAUGCAUAGCCGACCUGAGAGGGUGAUCGGCCACACUGGAACUGAGACACGGUCCAGACUCCUACGGGAGGCAGCAGUAGGGAAUCUUCCGCAAUGGGCGAAAGCCUGACGGAGCAACGCCGCGUGAGUGAUGAAGGUCUUCGGAUCGUAAAACUCUGUUAUUAGGGAAGAACAUAUGUGUAAGUAACUGUGCACAUCUUGACGGUACCUAAUCAGAAAGCCACGGCUAACUACGUGCCAGCAGCCGCGGUAAUACGUAGGUGGCAAGCGUUAUCCGGAAUUAUUGGGCGUAAAGCGCGCGUAGGCGGUUUUUUAAGUCUGAUGUGAAAGCCCACGGCUCAACCGUGGAGGGUCAUUGGAAACUGGAAAACUUGAGUGCAGAAGAGGAAAGUGGAAUUCCAUGUGUAGCGGUGAAAUGCGCAGAGAUAUGGAGGAACACCAGUGGCGAAGGCGACUUUCUGGUCUGUAACUGACGCUGAUGUGCGAAAGCGUGGGGAUCAAACAGGAUUAGAUACCCUGGUAGUCCACGCCGUAAACGAUGAGUGCUAAGUGUUAGGGGGUUUCCGCCCCUUAGUGCUGCAGCUAACGCAUUAAGCACUCCGCCUGGGGAGUACGACCGCAAGGUUGAAACUCAAAGGAAUUGACGGGGACCCGCACAAGCGGUGGAGCAUGUGGUUUAAUUCGAAGCAACGCGAAGAACCUUACCAAAUCUUGACAUCCUUUGACAACUCUAGAGAUAGAGCCUUCCCCUUCGGGGGACAAAGUGACAGGUGGUGCAUGGUUGUCGUCAGCUCGUGUCGUGAGAUGUUGGGUUAAGUCCCGCAACGAGCGCAACCCUUAAGCUUAGUUGCCAUCAUUAAGUUGGGCACUCUAAGUUGACUGCCGGUGACAAACCGGAGGAAGGUGGGGAUGACGUCAAAUCAUCAUGCCCCUUAUGAUUUGGGCUACACACGUGCUACAAUGGACAGUACAAAGGGCAGCGAAACCGCGAGGUCAAGCAAAUCCCAUAAAGUUGUUCUCAGUUCGGAUUGUAGUCUGCAACUCGACUACAUGAAGCUGGAAUCGCUAGUAAUCGUAGAUCAGCAUGCUACGGUGAAUACGUUCCCGGGUCU
rnacentral:rRNA from 1 species